AAGCGUCGCUGCGCAUGCGCAGAUCUGAGAGUAAAUUCUACAGGAUCAGUAGGCUUUCAUAAGGAAGAGCGAGUUAGUGGAAAUUCCGGGCCGUCUUGAAGAGUGCGGGUGUGAACUUGAGUUCUUAUGCUGGCCACAGUUUUCGAAUUGGAGCAGCAACGACAGCCGCUAAACAUGGACAGUACUACUGUAAAGAAAAAGAAGCAGCGUUCAUCCCAGAAGAGGCAGAUGAGGGAAAUGGAUUGGGAGAGAAGGGUGUUCCUUCAUAAAUGGAAAGGAAUUAUCUGAUGCUGAGAAAGGAUUCGAGGACUCAACUAUUAAAAUGCUUGCAUUCCAGGCCUACAUUCAAACACCCAAUACAACCUUGGCGGCAAUGUCGGCAAGAUUGAUGGACAAAGGACCGUCAGGAUCAUCGUGAAUGACAACACCCCAUCCCACAAUGAUCAAGUCUGCUAAACUAUGUACUGCACAUUGAACGUGUUUUCUUUGCUGUGUAUAUCUACAGAGCCAACACUAGUACUUGUGUGUGUGCUGGGUUAACAAUGUUCAUAUCACCUGCAGAUCAGUUGUAGGCCCACCAGGAUCUCUCCUCCGGAUCCAACCAUCGAUAUCAUCACUAUUGAGGAUCCAACCAUCAACAGUAUUGAAGAGGUAGGUGUGCAUGUGUGUUGUGUAUAAUAAUUAUGGUGGUGUUCUGUACUUCAAUAUGGUGAAGAGACGUCCUCCUCUGAAGGUACAACAAACCCGGACCUAGUGCAGAUCCCACAAGAAAUCCUCAUGGCUAAGAUCAACUUCGUCCAAUAUCUUGUGUUAUGGCAAGAAAGAUGUUGUGGAGCCUGACCACAUUGAAACGGGGCAAGCUGGAGCAUCAUUGUCACCCACACAAGCGAGAAUCCCGGAGACAAUCCCAACAACUUCUCAGUCUGUGGAAGACACAUCCUUCCAAGAACUUCUCAGUCUGUGCAAGAGACUUCCUUACAAAGAUUUACCGUCUCCUUCAACAACGAAAAGGAUUUGUGUAUAAGAAAUGACAACAACAGGCCAAAAGCUGUACAAGAAAUGACAUCAGCAGCUAGAAGAAGAAUUGGCCAAACAGGAAUCAUGGAAGCUACUUCUUAUUCUGUGCAUGACACUUCCUCUCUGUACCGUCCCCUGCAACAACAAAUAUAAUUUGUGUGUCGGAGAUGACCUCGAGAGUUUGAACUUCCUUGCAGAGAAAUUGACCAUCAAUCAUCUUCUCAUUCUGUGCAUGACACUUCCUCUCAAAAAUGUAUCGUCCCCUGCAACAACAAAUAUAAUUUGUGUGGUGGGAGAUGACAUAGAGACUUUGAAUAAAAUUGAAGUGACCCAUCAAUCAUCUUUUGUGGAGACAAUCCCAUUUAACGUCCCUUGCAACAAAAAUAAUGUGUGCUCUGUGAGAGAUGACCUCGAGAACCCGGAGGAAGAAGUGGUUCAACAAGGAAUGUCUCAAUCAUCAUCUGUUUCAUUGUAGAUGGCGGGACUCCCCACACCAGCAUCAUUAUCAGCUGUCACUAAGAACUGGAAACGCUGACAAGGCAUUCCAAGCAGGGACUCCUCGAGAAAGUGAAUAGAGAAGCUGGUUGUUGUCAUGGCGCUAUCUAGAUACAUCACGUUGCCACUGUCGGUUACGUUGAAUAUGGAGAGAGUGUAGUUGGUGCUGACCAGUGGGGGGGCGUUGCCGGGUCGAUCCCAUAC